rnacentral:rRNA from 1 species
UACGUAGGGUGCGAGCGUUGUCCGGAAUUAUUGGGCGUAAAGGGCUCGUAGGCGGUUUGUCGCGUCGGCCGUGAAAACCUGCAGCUUAACUGUGGGCUUGCGGUCGAUACGGGCAUCACUGGAGUUCGGCAGGGGAGACUGGAAUUCCUGGUGUAGCGGUGAAAUGCGCAGAUAUCAGGAGGAACACCGGUGGCGAGGGCGGGUCUCUGGGCCGAUACUGACGCUGAGGAGCGAAAGCGUGGGGAGCGAACAGG